GCUGGGCGUGGUAGUGGUGCAUGCCUGUCGUUCCAGCUGCUCGGGAGGCUGAGGCCAGAGGAUUGUUUGAGCCCAGGAGUUCUGAGCUAUCAUGUGGGUUCAGUGUCAGUGUGGUGACCUCCUUGGAGCAGAGCACCACAGGGAUGCCUGAGGAGGGGUGACCCGGCCCAGGUCAGAUACACAGCAGGUUAUAACUCCAGUGCUUUUUUGUCACUGUAUUCUAGCUUGUGCAACACAGCAAAACCCCAUCUCUU
ensembl:misc_RNA Metazoa_SRP Metazoan signal recognition particle RNA